GAAGGAGACAACAGAUCUGGGGUCAGGCUAUAGAAGGAGACAACAGAUCUGGGGUCAGGCUAUAGAAGGAGACAACAGAUCUGGGGUCAGGCUAUAGAAGGAGACAACAGAUCUGGGGUCAGGCUAUAUAAGGAGACAACAGAUCUGGGGUCAGGCUAUAUAAGGAGAUAACAGAUCUGGGGUCAGGCUAUAGAAGGAGACAACAGAUCUGGGGUCAGGCUAUAGAAGGAGACAACAGAUCUGGGGUCAGGCUAUAGAAGGAGACAACAGAUCUGGGGUCAGG
ensembl:lncRNA